rnacentral:rRNA from 1 species
GACGAACGCUGGCGGCAUGCCUAAUACAUGCAAGUCGAGCGAACAGAUGAAGUGCUUGCACUUCUGACGUUAGCGGCGAACGGGUGAGUAACACGUAAGGAAUCUACCUAUAAGCGGGGGAUAACAUUCGGAAACGGGUGCUAAUACCGCAUAAUAUCUUCUUCCGCAUGGAAGAAGAUUGAAAGACGGCUCUGCUGUCACUUAUAGAUGACCUUGCGGUGCAUUAGUUAGUUGGUGGGGUAAUGGCCUACCAAGACGAUGAUGCAUAGCCGACCUGAGAGGGUGAUGGGCCACGUUGGGAAUGAGACACAGCCCAAACUCCUACGGGAGGCAGCAGUAGGGAAUCUUCCGCAAUGGGCGAAAGCCUGACGGAGCAAUGCCGCGUGAGUGAAGAAGGCCUUCGGGUCGUAAAACUCUGUUAUAAGAGAAGAACAAAUUGUAGAGUAACUGCUACAGUCUUGACGGUAUCUUAUCAGAAAGCCACGGCUAACUACGUGCCAGCAGCCGCCGUAA